rnacentral:rRNA from 1 species
AGAACGAACGCUGGCGGCAUGCCUAAUACAUGCAAGUCGAACGAAGGCUUCGGCCUUAGUGGCGCACGGGUGCGUAACGCGUGGGAAUCUGCCCCUUGGUUCGGAAUAACAGUUGGAAACGACUGCUAAUACCGGAUGAUGACGAAAGUCCAAAGAUUUAUCGCCAAGGGAUGAGCCCGCGUAGGAUUAGCUAGUUGGUGAGGUAAAGGCUCACCAAGGCGACGAUCCUUAGCUGGUCUGAGAGGAUGAUCAGCCACACUGGGACUGAGACACGGCCCAGACUCCGUACGGGAGCAGCAGUAGGGAAUAUGGACAGUGGGCGAAGCCUGAUCCAGCAAUGCGCGUGAGUGA